AGUGAACGCUGGCGGUAGGCCUAACACAUGCAAGUCGAACGGCAGCACAGUAAGAGCUUGCUCUUACGGGUGGCGAGUGGCGGACGGGUGAGGAAUACAUCGGAAUCUACUUUUUCGUGGGGGAUAACGUAGGGAAACUUACGCUAAUACCGCAUACGACCUACGGGUGAAAGCAGGGGAUCUUCGGACCUUGCGCGAUUGAAUGAGCCGAUGUCGGAUUAGCUAGUUGGCGGGGUAAAGGCCCACCAAGGCGACGAUCCGUAGCUGGUCUGAGAGGAUGAUCAGCGACACUGGAACUGAGACACGGUCCAGACUCCUACGGGAGGCCGCAGUGGGGAAUAUUGGACAAUGGGCGCAAGCCUGAUCCAGCCAUACCGCGUGGGUGAAGAAGGCCUUCGGGUUGUAAAGCCCUUUUGUUGGGAAAGAAAAGCAGCAGGUUAAUACCACGCUGUUCUGACGGUACCCAAAGAAUAAGCACCGGCUAACUUCGUG
rnacentral:rRNA from 1 species